rnacentral:rRNA from 1 species
CACGGGGGGCCUACGGGAGGCAGCAGUGGGGAAUAUUGCACAAUGGGGGAAACCCUGAUGCAGCCAUGCCGCGUGUGUGAAGAAGGCCUUCGGGUUGUAAAGCACUUUCAGUUGUGAGGAAAAGUUAGUAGUUAAUACCUGCUAGCCGUGACGUUAACAACAGAAGAAGCACCGGCUAACUCCGUGCCAGCAGCCGCGGUAAUACGGAGGGUGCGAGCGUUAAUCGGAAUUACUGGGCGUAAAGCGCACGCAGGCGGUUUGUUAAGCUAGAUGUGAAAGCCCCGGGCUCAACCUGGGAUGGUCAUUUAGAACUGGCAGACUAGAGUCUUGGAGAGGGGAGUGGAAUUCCAGGUGUAGCGGUGAAAUGCGUAGAUAUCUGGAGGAACAUCAGUGGCGAAGGCGACUCCCUGGCCAAAGACUGACGCUCAUGUGCGAAAGUGUGGGUAGCGAACAGGAUUAGAUACCCUGGUAGUCCACACCGUAAACGCUGUCUACUAGCUGU